ensembl:lncRNA
CUUUUUAGGGCCUGACCUGAGUCACAUGGAGGUUCCCAGGCUAGGGGUCUAAUCUGAGGUACAGCUGCUGGCCUACACCACAGCCUCAGCAACGCCAGAUCCGAGCUGCAUCUUCGACCUACACCAUAGCUCACAGCAAUGGCAACGCUGGAUCCUUAACCCACUGAGUGAGGCCAGGGAUCAAACUUGCAACCCCAUGGUUCCUAGUUGGAUUUGUUUCUGCCGCACCACGACAGGAACCCCAGGGUUUUGUUGUUGUUGUUGUUAUUUUUAAUCGUAGUGAAGAUUUUAACACCCAUACACUUUCGUUCAUUUUAUUUGAUUAUUUCUUUAGCAUAGGUUCCUAUCAAUGGAAGUGUUAAUCUAAGGCUAUGAAUGGCUUUAAAAUUCCUGAAGCAGAUUUUUAAGCUGUUCUUUAAAAAGGUCUGUGCUGUUAGAACCCCACUCUUUAUGUGUAAGCAUGGCACCCUUGGGUACAGACCAGGAAUUCGCUCUCUCUUUAUCACUUCCUAAAGUCAANNNNNNNNNNNNNNNNNNNNNNNNNNNNNNNNNNNNNNNNNNNNNNNNNNAGGGCAGACAGGCUUUAACCCCUUAGAAGAAACCCAUUUCUGCAACAGGAUGGUUGGGUUAGGUUCAUCCCAGAGUGAUCGGGUGUCAGUCAUGCUGGAAAGAUGAGAGUGGCAUUAGUCAGAGCACCAGCAAUGGUCCACAACCCAGGCUGGCUUUUCCAUGGCUGGAACCUCUGUAAAGCCUGGAUUUCUGGGAGGAUCCCUGGGUCUGUCCACUUAUUCCUAACAUAUUCCCAUGCUGGUCAGAGCACAAACUUGCUUCUAUUUGUAAAGCACAAUCUAACAUGAAUGUCUUCGUGGACACAGGCAGAAGGGGGCUGACAUGUCUUUUUGUCCACGCCAGAUGGAAGUCUGUGCCUAAUAACCACAGGGGAUGGUUGCACAGUGCCUGGCUCAUUACAAAUAUUUCAGUGCCUAUGAUCUCAUCUUGGUGUGGUUAGGGAAAAAAGCACAGGCUUCGAAAUAAGACAUGUACUAGGCUGUGGCUUUGGCCAAGUAUCUGAAUCUCUAAGAGCCUUACCUUUCUCCUUUGUAAAAUGGGACUUAGGAAACCGAAGCUCAGUGAUAAGUGACUUACCUAAGAUUUUUAAAAUUCCAGCCCCAUGAGUCUAAACUUUCAUAAACCUUCAGCUUUCCACUUUACGUAGAGGCUAGGACUUGCCCUUCAGAGUAAGUUCUAGUUACACUUACUUAAAUGCUCUUUCUACUACAUUAUGCUUCCUCAUAUUUCCCUCUAAAUCUAAUUCUUUGGGAAUAAGAACAGCUCGAAAAUUUUGUAUUGCAUUCUGUAUAUAAGAGGAAGGUCCAACUGGGUCCUUCUUUCUUAUUCAGGGAAGCAAGAUGGUUAAGGGGAAGGGAGGACACAAACAAAGAUCGUCUGGCUCCUUUGCCAUCUGGAUAGUAAAGCACUCUCUCCUGCAUUGUAAUAGUUCACAUCUAGGCCUGACAUUGGUUCUCCUUGAGCUGAUUUGUUAAGCACUGGAAAAAUAAAUAACAGUGCCUCCCACUUGCUGCCUCCUUUUGAAGAUGUGUCUGGUCUCUGAGGAGACCUGGCCAAGGGUGACCUUGCCGGCCUGCUCAUCUUCUGAAGAAGGCCCUUCUGUCUGCAGGCAGCAUCCUAAGGUCCUUUAUAUCCUCUAUUUCUGGCCUCCAUGAAUUUCCUUUAGUCCAGAAAUUAGGAAACACUUAGGAAUUUUUUUUAAUAUGGUUGUUUAAGGGUUAUUUAAUUCAUACCCUGUUACUCAACCCAGCAUUUUUUUCCCCUUGGCUUAAGCCAUCUGGUUUGUGUUCAUUGUGAAACAUGAUAGCAGGAUAUUAAGCUUUUCAAAAGUACAGGCAGGAAAAGGGGAAAAAAGGCUCUAUCUUGCAAAAAUGGUAGAUUUUCCUUCAUCUUUCAUGACCCAAAAAUGUAGUUGGAAGCACUUUAUCUUGGGCUGGAUUGUGAUUUACUUGGGUCAUUGCAUUUGUCGAUGAAAACUGCAAACUUGUGAGUUUCCACUGCAACUGGGAACAGAAUUCACUGGGUCCCACAUCUCAAAGAAAACUCCAGAGAAAGAUCUGUGUCAUCUGGAUCCUGUACUGAGUUAACCCUGAAGGAUCGUGUCCUGGCCUCUGGAUCAGGCGGAAACUUUAAGAUUCAUAGGAAUUUGACUCCUAGGACUAGGAGUUACUUCUAGAAGUUCUCUCAGCCAAUGAUUCUCUAACUCUCAGAUAUAAACUGGUGCUGCUGGGUCCAUGAUAAAAAUUUCAUAGCUGCAUAGGGAAGGACGAAUGUAGAUGAUACAAUAUGUAUGGUAUAAAAUGAGAUGAAAGUAAAAUAUUGAGCAUGGAGCUUGGCAUACUGUUAGCACUCAGCACAUGUUCGCUGAUGUAGACAGAGCGCUGUCUGUGUGUGGCUGUCAACUAUCUUUUUGUUACCAUUAUUAUUGGUGUUGCAAUGCCUUUUCUUUUUAGGAAUAACCGUAACAGUAGGAUGGUAGCUGGCCUUUCUGUUUAACAUUGAUAGACAGCAAUAUUUAAAAAGUGGGCACCUGAUGUGGUACCCAAAAUUACUUCUGACAUUUCACUGGUGCUUGAAAUCUGAAAGUCUGAGAAACAGUCAUCUAGGUGUUCAAAUCAAACAACUCUAUACUUCAAAUCAAAUUUUGUCUAAUCCAUAAGGGACUUCCUUUCUCAGUGACCCAAAGGGCCUGACCCCUGGGACCUUUUCCCAUUUGUCCACAAGAAACAACUAUCUCUGGAUGGGGAAUUAGACUGAGAGGUACCACAGCUCUGAAAACUUCUUUCCAAAGGGGAUCCAGCUGCUGAGGUGUCCCCCCGCCACCCGCAAGCCCACUCCCUUGGCUCAGAACUAUUCUGCCCUUCAACUCCCAAUUCUCCCCUGACUCAUAAGAACCAGCUGGAACCACUGGUGGCAAGAGCUCUGUCUCCCAGGAGACCGUCUCACCGGUGACAGCAGUCCAUUUCCUUCCUUGAGCCAAGCCUAUCAAGCUAAGCCUCACCUUUGCUGAGAAUUAACAGUGUGUGCAACGAAGGUGUAUGUAUCUUCCUGACUCUAUUUAUAUCACCCGAGUGAGAAUCACAUUUGGGGUGUCAUAUACCAAUACGUCCUGUGUAACAUCUGGUGUGAGAGACACUGGGUAACACGAGGCUCAGUUCUGGGUCCUGCACAAGCAGAGUGACACAGCUCUUCCCUGAGGUUUAGGACAAGGUGGGUCAUUCAUUCAUUUGUUCAAGUACCAUGUGUCCUAGGGAGGGAGACGAAGACAGAUUCACCCAGGAUCAUGUCUGAGAAAGCUUAUAGUCCAGAGUUUAGAGCACACAGAGCUUACUUCAACAGAGGGGGAUGAGGAAGAUCUUGGAGUGAAGACAGUAUUUAGGCCAUGUAGCUAUCUCAGAGCAAGCCUCUGUCUUUGCAUUCGGAUCCUUCUGUGGAAUUUCACGACUCAGGAUGUCUUUGCUCCCUUUAAGGCACUGUGUAUUUGGGGAUGGGGUUCCAGGAGGCAAGGGGGAGGAAAGAGGGGCAGCUGGGAGAUGGAAAAAUUGGGAGUUCCUGCUCUGGCACAGGGGUUUAAGACUCCAACUUCAGUGGCUCAGGUUGCUGCGGCGGUAUGGAUUUGAUCCCCAGCCUGGCAUGGUGGGUUCAAGGAUCUGAUGUUGCCACAGCUGCAGCAUAAGUUGCAGCUGUGACUCAGACUCAAUCCCUGGUCCAGGGACUUCCAUACACUGCCAUUAAAAAAAAAAAAAUAAAAGCCACCAACAAAAGUUAGAAUUGGUGUGAAAUAACCUUCUCAAGAACAAAUCCCUGAAUAAGUCAAGGCUCUCCU